rnacentral:rRNA from 8 species
UUAAGCGACUAAGCGUACACGGUGGAUGCCCUGGCAGUCAGAGGCGAUGAAGGACGUGCUAAUCUGCGAUAAGCGUCGGUAAGGUGAUAUGAACCGUUAUAACCGGCGAUUUCCGAAUGGGGAAACCCAGUGUGUUUCGACACACUAUCAUUAACUGAAUCCAUAGGUUAAUGAGGCGAACCGGGGGAACUGAAACAUCUAAGUACCCCGAGGAAAAGAAAUCAACCGAGAUUCCCCCAGUAGCGGCGAGCGAACGGGGAGGAGCCCAGAGCCUGAAUCAGUGUGUGUGUUAGUGGAAGCGUCUGGAAAGGCGCGCGAUACAGGGUGACAGCCCCGUACACAAAAAUGCACAUGCUGUGAGCUCGAUGAGUAGGGCGGGACACGUGGUAUCCUGUCUGAAUAUGGGGGGACCAUCCUCCAAGGCUAAAUACUCCUGACUGACCGAUAGUGAACCAGUACCGUGAGGGAAAGGCGAAAAGAACCCCGGCGAGGGGAGUGAAAAAGAACCUGAAACCGUGUACGUACAAGCAGUGGGAGCACAGAGCAAUCUGUGUGACUGCGUACCUUUUGUAUAAUGGGUCAGCGACUUAUAUUCUGUAGCAAGGUUAACCGAAUAGGGGAGCCGAAGGGAAACCGAGUCUUAACUGGGCGUUAAGUUGCAGGGUAUAGACCCGAAACCCGGUGAUCUAGCCAUGGGCAGGUUGAAGGUUGGGUAACACUAACUGGAGGACCGAACCGACUAAUGUUGAAAAAUUAGCGGAUGACUUGUGGCUGGGGGUGAAAGGCCAAUCAAACCGGGAGAUAGCUGGUUCUCCCCGAAAGCUAUUUAGGUAGCGCCUCGUGAAUUCAUCUCCGGGGGUAGAGCACUGUUUCGGCAAGGGGGUCAUCCCGACUUACCAACCCGAUGCAAACUGCGAAUACCGGAGAAUGUUAUCACGGGAGACACACGGCGGGUGCUAACGUCCGUCGUGAAGAGGGAAACAACCCAGACCGCCAGCUAAGGUCCCAAAGUCAUGGUUAAGUGGGAAACGAUGUGGGAAGGCCCAGACAGCCAGGAUGUUGGCUUAGAAGCAGCCAUCAUUUAAAGAAAGCGUAAUAGCUCACUGGUCGAGUCGGCCUGCGCGGAAGAUGUAACGGGGCUAAACCAUGCACCGAAGCUGCGGCAGCGACACUGUGUGUUGUUGGGUAGGGGAGCGUUCUGUAAGCCUGUGAAGGUGUGCUGUGAGGCAUGCUGGAGGUAUCAGAAGUGCGAAUGCUGACAUAAGUAACGAUAAAGCGGGUGAAAAGCCCGCUCGCCGGAAGACCAAGGGUUCCUGUCCAACGUUAAUCGGGGCAGGGUGAGUCGACCCCUAAGGCGAGGCCGAAAGGCGUAGUCGAUGGGAAACAGGUUAAUAUUCCUGUACUUGGUGUUACUGCGAAGGGGGGACGGAGAAGGCUAUGUUGGCCGGGCGACGGUUGUCCCGGUUUAAGCGUGUAGGCUGGUUUUCCAGGCAAAUCCGGAAAAUCAAGGCUGAGGCGUGAUGACGAGGCACUACGGUGCUGAAGCAACAAAUGCCCUGCUUCCAGGAAAAGCCUCUAAGCAUCAGGUAACAUCAAAUCGUACCCCAAACCGACACAGGUGGUCAGGUAGAGAAUACCAAGGCGCUUGAGAGAACUCGGGUGAAGGAACUAGGCAAAAUGGUGCCGUAACUUCGGGAGAAGGCACGCUGAUAUGUAGGUGAAGUCCCUCGCGGAUGGAGCUGAAAUCAGUCGAAGAUACCAGCUGGCUGCAACUGUUUAUUAAAAACACAGCACUGUGCAAACACGAAAGUGGACGUAUACGGUGUGACGCCUGCCCGGUGCCGGAAGGUUAAUUGAUGGGGUCAGCGCAAGCGAAGCUCUUGAUCGAAGCCCCGGUAAACGGCGGCCGUAACUAUAACGGUCCUAAGGUAGCGAAAUUCCUUGUCGGGUAAGUUCCGACCUGCACGAAUGGCGUAAUGAUGGCCAGGCUGUCUCCACCCGAGACUCAGUGAAAUUGAACUCGCUGUGAAGAUGCAGUGUACCCGCGGCAAGACGGAAAGACCCCGUGAACCUUUACUAUAGCUUGACACUGAACAUUGAGCCUUGAUGUGUAGGAUAGGUGGGAGGCUUUGAAGUGUGGACGCCAGUCUGCAUGGAGCCGACCUUGAAAUACCACCCUUUAAUGUUUGAUGUUCUAACGUGGACCCGUGAUCCGGGUUGCGGACAGUGUCUGGUGGGUAGUUUGACUGGGGCGGUCUCCUCCUAAAGAGUAACGGAGGAGCACGAAGGUUGGCUAAUCCUGGUCGGACAUCAGGAGGUUAGUGCAAUGGCAUAAGCCAGCUUGACUGCGAGCGUGACGGCGCGAGCAGGUGCGAAAGCAGGUCAUAGUGAUCCGGUGGUUCUGAAUGGAAGGGCCAUCGCUCAACGGAUAAAAGGUACUCCGGGGAUAACAGGCUGAUACCGCCCAAGAGUUCAUAUCGACGGCGGUGUUUGGCACCUCGAUGUCGGCUCAUCACAUCCUGGGGCUGAAGUAGGUCCCAAGGGUAUGGCUGUUCGCCAUUUAAAGUGGUACGCGAGCUGGGUUUAGAACGUCGUGAGACAGUUCGGUCCCUAUCUGCCGUGGGCGCUGGAGAACUGAGGGGGGCUGCUCCUAGUACGAGAGGACCGGAGUGGACGCAUCACUGGUGUUCGGGUUGUCAUGCCAAUGGCACUGCCCGGUAGCUAAAUGCGGAAGAGAUAAGUGCUGAAAGCAUCUAAGCACGAAACUUGCCCCGAGAUGAGUUCUCCCUGACCCUUUAAGGGUCCUGAAGGAACGUUGAAGACGACGACGUUGAUAGGCCGGGUGUGUAAGCGCAGCGAUGCGUUGAGCUAACCGGUACUAAUGAACCGUGAGGCUUAACCUU